rnacentral:rRNA from 1 species
GGGCGGGACACGUGGUAUCCUGUCUGAAUAUGGGGGGACCAUCCUCCAAGGCUAAAUACUCCUGACUGACCGAUAGUGAACCAGUACCGUGAGGGAAAGGCGAAAAGAACCCCGGCGAGGGGAGUGAAAAAGAACCUGAAACCGUGUACGUACAAGCAGUGGGAGCACGCUUAGGCGUGUGACUGCGUACCUUUUGUAUAAUGGGUCAGCGACUUAUAUUCUGUAGCAAGGUUAACCGAAUAGGGGAGCCGAAGGGAAACCGAGUCUUAACUGGGCGUUAAGUUGCAGGGUAUAGACCCGAAACCCGGUGAUCUAGCCAUGGGCAGGUUGAAGGUUGGGUAACACUAACUGGAGGACCGAACCGACUAAUGUUGAAAAAUUAGCGGAUGACUUGUGGCUGGGGGUGAAAGGCCAAUCAAACCGGGAGAUAGCUGGUUCUCCCCGAAAGCUAUUUAGGUAGCGCCUCGUGAAUUCAUCUCCGGGGGUAGAGCACUGUUUCGGCAAGGGGGUCAUCCCGA